rnacentral:rRNA from 1 species
AUUGAACGCUGGCGGCAGGCCUAACACAUGCAAGUCGAGCGGAGCGGCGGACGGGUGAGUAAGGCCUAGGAAUCGGCAUGGUAGUGGGGGAGAACGUCCGGGAACGGGCGCUAAUACCGCAUACUAUCAGAUGAGCCUAGGUCGGAUUAGCUAGUUGGUGGGGUAAAGGCCUACCAAGGCGACGAUCCGUAACUGGUCUGAGAGGAUGACCAGUCACACUGGAACUGAGACACGGUCCAGACUCCUACGGGAGGCAGCAGUGGGGAAUAUUGGACAAUGGGCGAAACCCUGACCCAGCCAUGCCGCGUGUGUGAAGAAGUUCUUCGGAUUGUAAAGUACUUUCAGUUGGGAGGCGUUACCAACAGAAGAAGCACCGGCUAACUCCGUGCCAGCAGCCGCGGUAAUAC